AUUCCAUGAUGAGGGCAAUUUUUGAUCAUCAUAUUGAAACGCUCAAAUGCCUCGUGAAACAUCUCACCGUGUUAUUGUUGAAAACUUCUCAACCCCUUUCUCGCAU
rnacentral:snoRNA from 1 species